rnacentral:rRNA from 1 species
AUUGAACGCUGGCGGCAGGCUUAACACAUGCAAGUCGAGCGGAGCGAGGGUGCUUGCACCUUAGCUUAGCGGCGGACGGGUGAGGAAUGCUUAGGAAUCUGCCUAUUAGUGGGGGACAACAUUCCGAAAGGAAUGCUAAUACCGCAUACGCCCUACGGGGGAAAGCAGGGGAUCUUCGGACCUUGCGCUACUAGAUGAGCCUAAGUCGGAUUAGCUAGUUGGUGGGGUAAAGGCCUACCAAGGCGACGAUCUGUAGCGGGUCUGAGAGGAUGAUCCGCCACACUGGGACUGAGACACGGCCCAGACUCCUACGGGAGGCAGCAGUGGGGAAUAUUGGACAAUGGGCGGAAGCCUGAUCCAGCCAUGCCGCGUGUGUGAAGAAGGCCUUUUGGUUGUAAAGCACUUUAAGCGAGGAGGAGGCUACUUAGAUUAAUACUCUGGGAUAGUGGACGUUACUCGCAGAAUAAGCACCGGCUAACUCUGUGCCAGCCGCCGCGGUAA